rnacentral:rRNA from 1 species
UACGACGGGGGCUAGCGUUGUUCGGAAUUACUGGGCGUAAAGCGCGCGCAGGCGGCUUUCCAAGUCAGUGGUGAAAGCCCGGAGCUCAACUCCGGAAUUGCCAUUGAAACUGUAAAGCUUGAGUACGAGAGAGGUGAGUGGAAUUCCCAGGGUAGAGGUGAAAGUCGGAGAUAUGGGGAAGAACACCGGUGGCGAAGGCGGCUCACUGGCUCGUUACUGACGCUCAGGCGCGACAGCGUGGGGAUCAAACAGG